rnacentral:rRNA from 1 species
UAGGUAGCUUAACCUUCGGGAGGGCGCUUACCACUUUGUGAUUCAUGACUGGGGUGAAGUCGUAACAAGGUAACCGUAGGGGAACCUGCGGUUGGAUCACAUCCUUACCUUAAAGAA